ACACGUGGGCAAUCUGCCCUUCACUCUGGGACAAGCCCUGGAAACGGGGUCUAAUACCGGAUAACACCGGCUUCCGCAUGGGAGCUGGUUGAAAGCUCCGGCGGUGAAGGAUGAGCCCGCGGCCUAUCAGCUUGUUGGUGGGGUAAUGGCCUACCAAGGCGACGACGGGUAGCCGGCCUGAGAGGGCGACCGGCCACACUGGGACUGAGACACGGCCCAGACUCCUACGGGAGGCAGCAGUGGGGAAUAUUGCACAAUGGGCGAAAGCCUGAUGCAGCGACGCCGCGUGAGGGAUGACGGCCUUCGGGUUGUAAACCUCUUUCAGCAGGGAAGAAGCGAAAGUGACGGUACCUGCAGAAGAAGCGCCGGCUAACUACGUGCCAGCAGCCGCGGUAAUACGUAGGGCGCAAGCGUUGUCCGGAAUUAUUGGGCGUAAAGAGCUCGUAGGCGGCUUGUCACGUCGGGUGUGAAAGCCCGGGGCUUAACCCCGGGUCUGCAUCCGAUACGGGCAGGCUAGAGUGUGGUAGGGGAGAUCGGAAUUCCUGGUGUAGCGGUGAAAUGCGCAGAUAUCAGGAGGAACACCGGUGGCGAAGGCGGAUCUCUGGGCCAUUACUGACGCUGAGGAGCGAAAGCGUGGGGAGCGAACAGGAUUAGAUACCCUGGUAGUCCACGCCGUAAACGUUGGGAACUAGGUGUUGGCGACAUUCCACGUCGUCGGUGCCGCAGCUAACGCAUUAAGUUCCCCGCCUGGGGAGUACGGCCGCAAGGCUAA
rnacentral:rRNA from 1 species